rnacentral:other from 1 species
ACGGUUAUAAAUCAACAUAUUGAUUUAUAAGCAUGGAAAUCCCCUGAGUGAAACAACGAAUUGCUGUGUGUAGUCUUUGUCCAUCUCCCACGAUGGGCUUUUUUUUAA